AUACAUGAUGUCAAUAAACUUUUUUCGAAAGAAAAAUCUGUUCUUAUCAGUUUAAUAUCUGAUACGUCUCCUAUCUGGGGACCAUAUAUUAAAUUGAUUUUUGGAAUAGGGAGAUGGAACAGGGGCUUGCUCCAUCCACUUCACGUAUCGACCCGGUCUUGCAGUACUUCCGUGAAUGGUACACCCCCU